GGACGGGGGAGCCGCCCGCCCGCCCGCCUGCCUGCCUGCUCUCCCUCGCUUUCCGCCUCUCCCCCCGUCGGGCUGGUGGACGAGAGCUGCCGGGACUCUCUGUUUAAAAAGGGGCGGGCUCCAUAGAUCAAGCCCGCCCUCCUCUGCUCCCCACCUUCCAAUGACACUUUCUUUUUUCAUUGCCGGCGAGAGCCGAAGUCGCAGGUUUUGGUCAAGAAAACCAUCGCUGGAGCGGACGGGGGGAGUCCGAGCCGCGGCUUCGUACACCCGGGAUCGGCGCCCGCUCCCCGCCGGCUCCGUCCAAAAAGCUUUAAAAUCCCAAAGUAGCCCAGGCAGAGCGGCACCGGAGCUGCCUGCUCUGCCAGGACCUGGCGGCUUGAAGAAGUGGACCAGCAGUUGAAGAAUCCCCUGUGCGGCACUUCUUAUAGCAGUUGUUUUCUUAGGCAUUUCUCAGAUAAGAGGCAAUUCAAGCAACUUUUGUUCAGGAUGAGAUUUGUGUUGUGCACUUUUCAGGCACCCUGAGGGAAAAGGAAGAUUAUAUCCAAAACUGAGUUUAUUUUGUUUUGUUUUACAGUUUGAAAGGUCUCUAAAAAUUUAAGACAUGCUUUAGAGCUACAUAUAAUUAAGUGUUGUCUUCUACCCCUUCCUCAAAUCAAAACCCCCAGCCUUGGUUUAAAAGGUUUUUAAACCUUUAAAACAUAUGAGCAAGGCAAAUGAGAAGUUUGGAAGUUCAGUUUGCACUUCCAUAGAAAAUGUCAAAGUUCUUUACAUUCUUCGCUCAACUUUGGGACAAGGCACAGAAAUGUUGGUAUUUCCUGCAGAAGGGGAAAGUUUUAAAAUAAAAAUCAAUUUAGAAUCCA